rnacentral:rRNA from 1 species
GACAGAGGAUGCAAGCGUUAUCCGGAAUGAUUGGGCGUAAAGCGUCUGUAGGUGGCUUUUUAAGUCCGCCGUCAAAUCCCAGGGCUCAACCCUGGACAGGCGGUGGAAACUACCAAGCUGGAGUACGGUAGGGGCAGAGGGAAUUUCCGGGUGGAGCGGUGAAAUGCACAGAGAUCGGGAAGAACACCAGUGGCGAAGGCGCUCUACUAGGCCGUGACUGACACUGAGAGACGAUAGCUAGGGGAGCGAAUAGG